CGAUCUCUUUUUCCUCUUUAAGGAAGGUGCCUGCAGCCCCUGUUUACAUACUCCACGUCACCUUCUCAGCUCCAUGACCUUCGUGAAACUCCAGCAACUAUACGACAUCAGGCAGGGGGGUGGAGGGGAGCCAGCGGAGGAGUUUUUCCAGGCGUGUCCUACUGGGCGAAGUCCCCUGGCUGACCCAGGAUGCGCUGGAGGGAUCGGACCUCCCAGGUGGCUCGGGAAUGCCUGGAGAUCCCCCCAGACCCACUGUACAUCCCUCCAGCAGGACCGAAGUACUGGCCCAGGAAAAUGGCAUUUGGCCCCCACCCUCAGAGAGUUAUAAAGUCUUCCCACUGCAUGUCACGUGGCGUGUGCCACACCCCCGGCACAGACGCAUGACACCCUGAUGGGCAACCUGACACCCUGAUGGGCAACCUGUCACCCUGAUGGGCAACCUGACACCCUGAUGGGCAACCUGACACCCUGAUGGGCAACCUGACACCCUGAUAGGCAACCUGACACCCUAAUGGGCAACCUCCCGCAGGAGCAGCCUCUGCGGCCAAAUCACCGCCGGGAACAGCAUCCUCAUUUCUGCUGGUGAAUCGUACUUCCUGGCACUAGAUCCAUGCUCACUGUCUCCCCUACUGGAUGAAAAGAUCUGCAUCACGAUGCUGUCACUAUGCUGUUUAAGGAAGCCAGCCGAAGUGGCAGCAGCUCCUGUUCACUUGAGCCACAUCCUGGGUGAAGCAUCGUACUGCCGGGAGUUGAAUGAAGUUACCCACGGUUUGUGAGACCCGUCCCACUUCACUGAUAUGGGUAAAGAUCCCUUCCUGAACCUGUACAUUGCCUUUUUUAGUACCAUUUUUUAGGGAAUGAGCUUAGAAGUAAUGAAUAACGCAAAGUGCAAGGGCAGAUCAUUUCUGAAGUGCAGUAGGGCAGUAUUCCAUUUGAUUCUGAUUAAUUCCAUCACAGAAAUCUUUGAUAUGCUUUUUUUGUCCAAUUGCAAGACAGAAUGAAACUUGGAAUUUCCGAACUGAA